rnacentral:misc_RNA from 1 species
UAGAGGAAGUAAAAGUNGUAACAAGGUUUCCGUAGGUGAACCUGCGGAAGGAUCAUUAUCGUACAACGGAGAUGCAAGGGUUGUCGCUGAUCGCUUCAAAGGUCGUGCACGCCCGAGCAUACUCUUACACAUCCAUUUCACACCCCUUGUGCAUCACCGCGUGGGCCGUCCUCUGUCGUGGAGGGCUCGGCCCAUGCUUUUACACAUAAAACUUGAAAUGACGUAGAAUGUCUUUAUUUGUGGUCACACACAAUCAAUACAACUUUCAACAACGGAUCUCUUGGCUCUCGCAUCGAUGAAGAACGCAGCGAAAUGCGAUACGUAAUGUGAAUUGCAGAAUUCAGUGAAUCAUCGAAUCUUUGAACGCACCUUGCGCCCCUUGGCAUUCCGAGGGGCACACCCGUUUGAGUGUCGUGAAAUCAUCAAAACCCUUUUCUUUAAAGGAUUUUGGAUUUGGAGGCCUUGAUGCUUGCUUUUGCUUUUGAAAGUGAGCUCCUCUGAAAUGAAUCGGUGGGGUCUGCUUUGCCGAUCCUCGACGUGAUAAGAAGUUACUACGUUUUUGGAUUUGGCACCGUGUCCCGCUUCUUAACUGUCUUGACGGACAACGAUGGUGCUUCGGUCACCGCCAUCAUCCGUGUUGGCGGGAGGCUGGACCCACAAAAAGGACCUUGACCUC